GACGAACGCUGGCGGCGUGCUUAACACAUGCAAGUCGAACGGAAAGGCCCUGCUUUUGUGGGGUGCUCGAGUGGCGAAAGGGUGAGUAACACGUGAGUAACCUGCCCUUGACUUUGGGAUAACUUCAGGAAACUGGGGCUAAUACCGGAUAGGAGCUCCUGCUGCAUGGUGGGGGUUGGAAAGUUUCGGCGGUUGGGGAUGGACUCGCGGCUUAUCAGCUUGUUGGUGGGGUAGUGGCUUACCAAGGCUUUGACGGGUAGCCGGCCUGAGAGGGUGACCGACCACAUUGUGACUGAGAUACGGCCCAGACUCCUACGGGAGGCAGCAGUGGGGAAUAUUGCACAAUGGGCGGAAGCCUGAUGCAGCAACGCCGCGUGCGGGAUGACGGCCUUCGGGUUGUAAACCGCUUUCGCCUGUGACGAAGCGUGAGUGACGGUAAUGGGUAAAGAAGCACCGGCUAACUACGUG
rnacentral:rRNA from 1 species